CUCGUGUUACAGGUCUCCUCAGGCAAACAGCCCUGCCACCUCAGAAAGUGUGGGGGGCACUGGGGAGACAGAUGCCAAAACCUCUCCUCCUCCAAUUCAGUGAUUCUCAAAAGCAGCUGCAUCUCUGGAGGAGAAGCAGGAACAGCUGGAGCAAAAGAAAGGCCAAAUGAGAUGAUGCCAUUAGGAUUAUUUCAUCUCCCUCUUGAAUGGGAGCCCAGAGCAGUCCCUUUGUCAGUGAAAUCCUCCUGUGUGGGGCUGUUACACCAUCACAGGGCAGGGGCCACAAACACGUGCAAGUCCUGGGGAGCUUCACACUCUGGGAAGGACAAGAUGUCCCAGAGAACUGGCCACAGGGGACUUUUUUCCGUGCCUGAGCUAUCAGUCAUGAGGAGCACUGGAGGAAGCUGUGCUGAAAUGGACAAUAAACCCAGGAUGCAUUGGACACACAAAAAAUUUGGCACAGGGUGGUGCAGAGAACAGCCCGCUCUUGGAACAGCAGCACUAGUUCACGGGCACCGCAUGGCAGGUGUAGUCCCAGCUACAAACAGGGACCAGCCAGCUGCAGCCACCCUGGAGAUCUUUGGUCAGAUAGCAAGCUGCACAUCUCCGGCGAGGGCCCUGCAGCUUCCUGAUGCUCCCCACAUCCUGGAAAUGACAUGCCCAUGCGUGCCCUCCCUCACUGUCACCGGUGUUUUCUCGCGUGCAACCCCUCCGUCCCUGAUUGCACACAUGCUCCAGCACUGCCAGCCCCAGGGACUUUUGCUGUAAGGUGCCAAAACUCUGUUGUCUUGUUUGAAGAGCCGGAGGGGGAAAGUCCAGCCACCCAGUGGAUGCUGCAAUGAGAUAGCGCAUCUAUCUGUAAUUGUCGCUUAAACUAAUUAAAUUACCAGACCCAAGGAGUUUUGAAAGGGUCGUUUGGAGACUCCUGCCCUGCUUUCUCCCAAGCAUGUGUGUAGGGGGGCAGGUAGCCCUGCUGCUUCCAGCCACAGGCUUUUUUGCAGCCUCCUCUGGAGCUGCUGAUGGUAUCUCAUGUCAGAGGCAGAAGAUGCAAGGCCUGUCUAAUCUGCUCUGGCAAUUCCCUCAUCUCUAAGCAUCAUUUCCCCUCUUCUUCUAGAAAACAAGCAUGUUUAGCGUUACACAGUUUCGGCAUCUGAGUUGCCUGACAGCUUUAGAAGGGAGUAAACAUUCAUCCUGCUGACAUGGCAAUAAAACCGGUGCAUCUGGAAGAGAGGAGUCAGCAGCAGAUGUGCCCCUGCAAACUGCUCGCUGUGAUGAAUGCUCUUCCCAGAUACUGCUAAUCCCUUUUCUCUUGCUCCUAGGCCUCCUUAAUUGUGCUCCCUGUGAUUAAAUAACUCUUUGAAGAUAUCACUAGAAGUUAUUUCUUCCACGUGGGAAUGUCGCUUGCCAGAAGUGCUUCCCCUUGUAUGGGUACUGCCAGCUCAGCAAUGCACACAGAAGUCGCUGCUGCAAACUGCUUUGUGCACGCACCCUGAGCCCUGCCAGCCAAGACAGGUACCUGCCCUUUCCCAGCCUCCUUUCUCAGCAUGUUUGCUCUGUUCCUGGUCUGGCAGGGAGACUCUGUGGAAAAACCAGUAUGGGUUCCCUCGGAACUGCUUGCAAUCAGUCUCCAGUGCCGUUACCUGUGUAUCACGCAACCCCAACGUUUAACGAGUGCCCCCAGGGCAGGCAGGUUAUGAAAGAAGCCCCAUGAGCGUGCCCCUGGCUGCCUCCCUGACGUCAAUGUGACGCAGUGGAAUCAGGAGAAAAUGCAGACCAGUGUACGAAACACUGGGGAGCUCAGGCUUUUGGGUGCAGCCGGAAAAAAAAAGAAGAAUGAAGGGGUGGAGCUAGUGACAAUAAGAGAUGAAGGGAGAUUGUCUUAUCACCCAGAGCUGGCAGCUGGAGCGAAUUUCCCCUCCCAAGUGCAGACUCUGUAGGCGUGGGUGAUGUUCUCCCAUCCUUCAGGUCCUGCUGGUCCAGCCCUCGCCAUGGGCAUCAGGGUGGCUGCAGCAGAGAGGGGCCAGCAGGCAGGUGCUGCACCAGACCUCCGACUCGCCUUGCUCAGAUCUGAUGGCAUGUGGAUUUUAAACACAUAGGGAUGAUGUUACCGUGAUGCUCAGGCACUUUAAUUUUGCGCCUAGAUUUUGAACAUGCUUUAACAAUAUUUGUUGGAGAACAACUUCAGUGAAGAGCCAGGGCGUCUGCAUCAAGAGGAAACUGCUCAUAUGGCUGCACCUGUCCUGUGGACUCAGGGAGAGAAACUAGAUCUGUACAAGCUCACCGACAGCACCGAGCAGCAUGUACACUGGAGACUGUCCCGCUUGAAGUGGAGGGUGGCAGACCGCGUGGUGCAUGUCAUGCUGCAGAAGACUGCAGGUUCACCCCAAACUCUGCAAUAUUUGCUGAAUCAUCUCCAUCAAUAUUUCUGGUUUUAUCCAAAAGAAAGGAGUGAGCAAGAGCCCUUCUGUUCCUCUGCUUGCAGGACAGACCCUGCAGCUGGGACCCACACAGGCUAAAACAGCAGAAGGCUCUUUCAAAAUGCCCAUGAACCCAAGUCUUACUUCUGAAUCUUUCAAGUCUUCCUUCUGUACUUUUAAACACAGCUUCCUGAUGUUUACUUUUUUUUUUUUUUUCUUGGAUCUCACAUCACUUGCUGAAAUCAGGUAGCACUGAGGAUAUGGGCUAGAAGCAAUGCUUUCACUGUGCUGAGCAGCCUGGCUUUGGCUGGGCAGUGCCAGUGCUCAGCAGGGUGACUGUUGGGAAGUCCCCAGGGUCACAGGUACGGGCUGGAAGUUGUGGCCAAACACCCGGUGAGCGCCAGGUGGUGGAGACAGAGAAUGGGAGCCAGUAUGGGGAGGGGCAGAGGCAGCCUCUCAAAGCACGGUGGCAGUGUAAGGCAGCUGGGAUGUUCUUGUUGCUCCUGUUUGGGAAUAUCAGGCUCAUGUGUCUGAAACGAGUCAGGCACGGUGAUGGCAUCUGGCACUUUUGCUCCAUCUAUUCCUCGGUCUCUGACUGAGCCUGGUGUCGUGGGAUGCGAGCAAUGAUCCCUCUAAAGCUGAGGUCACGUUGCAACCCCAGUCCUGGCCCUGCUCUGCAGCAUCAAGGGAAGGAUGCAGUUUCAAACACGGGAGCUGUUCAUCUUCAAGCCUUGAGCCCAUGCAAGAUAAGCAGCAGCUCCAUAAGCUCUCCGUGCCCUGCCAGGUACCGGGCCACCCUGCCACCUGGCACUGCUCCUGGUUCAAUGCAUGGGAAAUAGAUCAGAGGCUCAACUAGGGGAGUGGGACCAUUGCACAUCCCUCCCUUUUGAAAGCACUGCAGGAACCCAUCAAAGGGUGGUGGGGAGACGAGUGGAGCAUGACGAGGUGGCCAUGGUGGGACCAGGCUCGUAGCACUUGUCCUGUCUGUCCUGCCCUGCGGGAAGGGAGCGGUUUUGAGGCUCUCUGAAGGAGCGGGGCGCUGGGCAGGCUCCCCGGCAGCCUGCGGGCUGCCCUGCCAGCCUUGCACGACCAGUUUCUAUGCCCAGCAUGUCUUUCAGCAAGACGUGCAGUUUCACCACCUGCUCAUUCAGGCCUCUGGCUGCCACAUUACCUAUUAGUCGGUGUGCUUGUUUGGCUUCCUGAAAUGUGCCUGUCCAGCUCCUCUGGCAUCCAACAUGCUGCUGCCUGCCUCAUGCACUCUCCAGAUUUGGGUUCCUCCUUGGAAAGAAUCCACAUUGCCAGCUAUUUUUGGAACAGAGGCAUCUAUUGUCUUCUGCUGUUCCCCGCUGGGUUCAGCUCACAGCUCCCUGGGGCCUGCUUCCCCCCAUAUGCUCUCCCCUCCCGUGGCAUGACUUCUGUGUGCCCCACAGCAUCUCCAGUACACAGCACUGCUAGAGCCCCACGAGGCAGGGCAGAGCCUUUGACACCAUUUUGUGGAUGCCCUGAGCCCAUGUUGGUUUCAUGAGUUGUCAGGGGGGUCCAGGAGUGAGGUGGAGCAGGGUGUGUGAGGUGUCCACCUCCAGUGGUGGGCUGCCGCAGUGGGGCAGCUGAUGCUGCCAUGAGGUCCUGCCAAGAAGACAGCAAGCCAACCUGCAGCAUGGGAUGUACAGUAGAGGACCAGGUCCCUCACCUCCCCAGGGUGAAGCCCUGUAUGGACCUGAGUGGCAAGGUCUCCAAACAGGUUGGGUGGGAGCUGCAUUUGGGAUCAGUCCCUGCAUUAGGCAACACAGAGAGAAACUGCCGGGCAGGCUGGAUGCUCUUGGCAGGUUGUAUGUAGGAGGCUACGCUGUAGUCCUUGGGCUGUCUUCCCUUGCCACAGCCUUCAGAGCUGGGCUGAGAUUUGCAGCCAUGGUGUCCUUAGCAAGAAAGUUGGGCUGUUGCUCCCACAGUUCAGGACCUCUGAGACACCUUUAACCAAAAGUUGACACCUCUUUGGUUCCUUGGUGAUGCUGGGUUCCCUUUUCUAACAAUUUAUUUGUGCCUCUUCCAGAAAGCUAGUCAACAAUUUUCAACUGUGUCAGUUUGCAGAAGAUAGAAGGUAGGGUGGGGGGUGGGAAAGGGAGACAGGACGGAGCUAUUUUAGUCUAAGUCCAUCUGCGUUGAUAAUUCUCCAUCCAGCCCCAAUCAUUCCUGGAGCAGGAUUUGCUGGGUGGCCUGGCCAAGAAAAUAGCUUUCGUGCUUUGCAAGCCCUGCAAUGCCCACGUGCCCGCGCACCUCUGCUUGCAGCGUGGCGGGUGAGCACGUGCUUCAGCAGAGCCGCCAGCAGAGCUGCAAACGUGGACACCGCUCCACAGCAAAGGGAACAAACAGUGCCAGCAGCUCCUUCCCACCACACGUUCCUCUCCCUGCAGUCAGCUCCACAUCUCAGGAACAGCGAUUUCAGCACUGAUGGCCCCUCAGCAUGUUAGAAAAGUUUCGUGCAAUCUGUUUACUUUUGGACAUAUGCUGUGUUUGUGCUGCCUGGAGUUUUGCUGCCUCUGAUAACUUUGGGUGUCAUUUUCUCCAGUUUGGUGCCUGGGUACUGAUUGACACCUGUGGAAAUAGGCCUCCAAAGGGGUGCAAAAUGUCUUUGUUCCUCUGGUGUGAUGCCUCAACUGCCACUAUAAAAAUGGCACACGUUGCCCUUGAGGCACCGAUCCUCCAUGGGAAAUCAGAGAAGGAAGAUGGAAGGUGACGGGACCACGCUGCUCUUCACCACCUUAAGAAGGUUGAGGGAGCCCGAGGUAUCUGUAUCGGUGUGUAUUUGCGUGCAGGUGCUUGUGUCUGUAUAGAUCUAUAGUGCUACAGAUGUAUGUCUCACAGAGAGUGAAUAGUACUGCCAAGAAUGAAAUCUCUAACCUCAGUUUCAGGGAUGCUGAGGUCUUGGUGACAGCAGCUUUGCUGCACCUGGAAGUUGCCUGGGUGGACAGGAGGUGUGCAUUUAAUGCACAGCAUCUCUUCUUGUAGAAAGAAAGCACGGAAUCCUGGUUUGGAUUUCUGAUUUUCCUCACUUUCUGAGUGCUGUUCCAGAAUAACGCUCCAAGGAGAGUCCUCUGAGCCCCCAGCUCUGUGCCAUGGUGUCCUGCUUUAUAUGACCAGAUCCCCAGCUUUGCUGCAACACAGUUUGCACCAAAAGAGACAACUUAAAAAAAUAAUAAUUGGAAAAGAGAACUAUUUCAGGGCAAGAAAAAUCAGGGUUUUUAUCAGCGUGAGCAAAGGCAAUGGGACAGUGCUCUUCCAGCACUGUUUCUGAUCUCAGGUGAAGUGUUUGGGCUGUGAUGUACUCCGCGAGCCAGGUAAAGCCGCCUCCCACAGAACUGGCUUUUCAAUGUACAUAUUAGAGUGUAUUUGCAAUGUAAAUUAAUAAGUACCAUCUGCUUACCUCUGAUGUUAUGAGAAUGUUGUCUUAUGACUGGCUACAAACAAGACAACAUUGAAGAGGUAACACCUGCUGGUACAUAUUACUGCAAUUUAUUUUCAAACAUUAGAAGAUUAUCUUGGAUGGGAGAAAUAGGUAUAAUCUCCUCUUGCUAUGUAUUAAGUGCUAAUGAGAGGCACGUGUGUGGAUUGCCAGAAAACAUCUUCGAGGAAUAAGCACUAAGGAUGGAGUAAACUGUAUCCAAGGGCAGAGGGACCUCGACAAGGCUGCCAUCCCUCUGCAGCUUCUCUGUGGCUUGGCCCCCGACUGAUGAAGAUUUAAGGGGAUGUUUGGCUGGUGAAAAGCUGCUGCUUGUCAAAUGUAAAGCUUGCUGCAGGAAUUUAUUGAUUUCAGGCAAAAAGGCCCUAGAGGUAAAAAAAAAGAAAGGUCUGUCAAAACAUCCUACUUUAGCCUUUGGGGAUGGGAUAGUCUGAAUUUUCAUUUCAAAAUCACAGCCUACUUUUGAAAUGGAAAUUAUUCUAAUGCUGAGACAGAGAUGAAAUCUUUCCAUUUUAGCAAAAUAAUAUGUUUCAUUUGACUCCAGAAAUGCUUUUUCCCAGUUUUCCCAGAAUAGGAAUAAAAUCUGAAGAAACAGUAGACACAAAAACCGGGGUCCUUGCAGACUACCAGCUUUCGUUUCCACUCAGAUGUUUCCGAACUGACAUCCAUCCGCCCAUCACACCUCUUUUUUUUUCUCAUCCCCUUAUUUUUCUGCAGAUUGGCAGCACUGCAGGGCAAGGACUCACAGGCCUGGGUUUUAAUAUCUGACAGCACGCAGAUUAUGAAUUCCAGUGUGGCUAUAUAGGUAUUUAUGUAGGUAAUUGUUAUGUUGGUGACUAGCUUUUAUUUUAUGCUGCCUCAAGCAUCUUGCGGUGAACAGGCGGGAGUGUGGUGCCAGUGUGUCCGCUCGGCAAAAGCUCUGUUGUGAAAGGUAUGGCAGCUGAACCGCGCUUACCAGGGAGUAGACAAUGCCGAUUUUCCUGAUUUUCUGCAGCCUGCAUAGAGCUGGGGGUGCAGGACAGGGCUUUCCCCCAGUGCAGAGCAAGGAUGCUGAGGGGUAGACUCCUGCCCAAACCUGCAGGGAUGGAGGAGCUCCUGAUGAGUUUGAGCAGGGGAGAGGAGAAGCCAGUGGGACUUUACAAAGGAGGGGACUUUUCUGGGGAAGGGGCAAGGUGAGAAAAGGAGAAACUGGCUACAGAAGGGCAGGGAGCUCACUGCUGGGCAGGUCUCAGGCUACCAGUGCAAACUGGGGAUGGGAAAUGAUGGAAACAUUCAUGAUGCUAGCCAAAGAAACGAGUAAGUUUGGGGAUGCUUCGCAGAGCUGGGGUGCACACCGGCUUCUGCAGAGGGAUCAAGGCAGGGGUAAGUGUCCUGUUCUCAAAAGAGCUUUUGAUAUGGCCCUGAAGAGGGGGGAUUGGAGCCUGCAGCAGUCUCCAGGUUCAUCCUUGGGGAGGAUGGGGAAGGCUGAGCAAAGAAGCCAUAAGCAACCUCACAAAUGUUUCUCCUGGGACACAUGUCGAAUGGGUUUUCUAACAACAGCAAUUUUUGAGAAGCUCAUUAUCAACAUUACUGAGCAAACCUGGCAGCUCCUUUUCCUCUGAUGCAGACCUGCAGGGAACAGUUUUAACGUGGUGCACCAGGGCUGGGAUGCACAGCAAGGCUCUUACCCUGGGUGCAAGGUGGACCGCAGCCAUCCUUAGCAGGACAAAACCAGCAGACUGAGGUACCAGCACUGCAGGUGAGUUGUGAGGAGGAAUUUUCCUUCACUGCAUGUGACUGAACUGCUGGAGACGCACCUGCAUGGUGGUGGCAGCUCAGAAACAGUAACAGGAGCAGACCUCUCAUGAGCUCUGUCAUAGACCAUAGCUGGCAGAGAUGCU